UAGCUCACAGAUGUUCUCUGGAUGGUA
rnacentral:piRNA from 1 species